CAGCCGCCGCGGUAAUACGGGGGAUGCAAGUGUUAUCCGGAAUUACUGGGCGUAAAGCGUCUGUAGGUUGUUUAAUAAGUCAACUGUUAAAUCUUGAGGCUUAACCUCAAAACAGCAGUCGAAACUAUUAGACUAGAGUAUAGUAGGGGUAAAGGGAAUUUCCAGUGGAGCGGUGAAAUGCGUAGAUAUUGGAAAGAACACCGAUGGCGAAAGCACUUUACUGGGCUAUUACUAACACUCAGAGACGAAAGCUAGGGUAGCAAAUGGGAUUAGAUACCCCAGUAGUCCUAGCUGUAAACGAUGGAUACUAGAUGUUGAACAGAUCGACCUGUGCAGUAUUAAAGCUAACGCGUUAAGCAUCCCGCCUGGGAAGUAUGCUCGCAAGAGUGAAACUCAAAGGAAUUGACGG
rnacentral:rRNA from 1 species